CAUGAUCUUGUGUAUAUAAACUAUACAGCCGUGAAUAUUCUUUAGUUGUGAUCAGCUAGUCGCAUUGGUGCUGUGUAGCUCCCUGGUGCGGUGCAAGGCCAGGAUGAGAAUAAAAGGCAGGGUAUAAUAGCUUCAGACUACUGGAUGAAUUCGUGCACAGCUGAUUUGACCUUAACUGGGCUUGGACAUACAUGCACGCUGCAUACUGAUAGACUAUAUACCACUAGACAGUUUGGAAUAGGAGGUUACCAUGGAAACCAACGAGGCGUCCACCAAUCAUGGGGCGGAUAAGGCCUUCAAGAAAGUAGAGGUGGUGACAGCUUUGAAAAUGGCGGGAAAGAACACCAAAAUGAUGAAGGCAGCCAGACUCGCUAAGGCCAAACCGACUCCAUCUAUGGAAAUUAAGAGAGUGGAUCUGAGACUCCCUCCAAGACCACUAUCAUCUCCACCAGUUGCUGAACAUGCUUGCAUUGAAGCAUCCUCUAUCAACAAAUUUCCACUCCCAUCUCUCACCGACACUAAAAUGAACGUGAACGCCAAACACGGCGGGGGCACCGCCCUUGUUCUAAACACAGUUGGCAGGGGAGAGUUAGACCACGAUUUGGCUGAAAUCGCACUGCUACGAUGCGGUUUCGAUGGCAACCACUGCUCAGUGAAGCAACUCGCAAAGACAGGCGGCCACAGUAGAUUCUACGAAUGGAACGAGGUUCGAACCGACGCGCGAGGUUUCGUCCAACCUGAGCUGCUCUACGGGAAAUCCCACACCACAAUCUUGUCGAACAUUGCCCGUUUCGGUCAUGGAGGUUGCGGGGUGGUGUUCGAUGGACCAGAGACGGCAUCGGAGGAUGGCAAGGCUAGUAUUAUUCCAAGUCCCGUGAUUAGAACAGCCAGUGACUUGGAGGGAUGUUGUGCUCUGGUGAUUUGCAGCGCCCCGCCCGACGAGGCGGGAGUUGUACCAAGUCAAACGUAUCUUCUCCACUUUCUGCGUGACGGUGAACUUGCGAAGGCUCCUCUGUUACCUAAUGGAAGUGACUGCUGGUCUUUUGAAUGUUCACCUCUAGAAAUUCCAGAGCCUGAAAAGCCCAUCCCGAAAAGCCCUGUUCCCGAUAGCCCGACACCGGACAGGGAAGCUCCAAGUAGCCCAGCUCCUGAAAACCCACCUACAGACAGCCCACAUGUAGAGAGCUCACCUAAUGAUGGGUUGGCUCCAGCUCCAGAAAGCUACAGGUCGCAAGAAAGCCCUGAUGCUGACACACCAACUGUAGAUACCUCGCCUUCAGAAAACAAGCUUCAGGUCAAUACAGCAGCAGAAAGCUCACAUCCAGAUAGCUCUCCUCUGGAAAUACCUCAGGUGAACGUGCCUAAAGAAAGCAAGCCUGUCAAAAGCUCGGGAAAGGAGAGCUCACCUCAAGAAAGCUUUCCUCCGGAACUACCUCGGGAGAACGUGCCUCAAGAAAGCAAGCCUGUCAAAAGUUCAGAAAAGGAAAGCUCACAACCAGAAAGCUCUCCUCCGGGACUACCUCAGGAGAACGUACCUCAAGAAACCAAGCCUUUGGAAGGCUCAGGAAAGGAGAGCUCACCACCAGAAAGUUUUCCUCCGGAACUAUCUCAGGAGAACGUGCCUCAAAAAAACCAAGCCUUUGGAAGGCUCGGGAAAGGAGAGCUCACUACCAGAAAGCUCUCCUCCGGAACUACCUCAGGAGAACGUGCCUCAAGAAACCAAGCCUUUGGAAAGCUCAGGAAAGGAUAGCUCCCCGACAGAGAGCUCGCCUGGGGAAAGCUCAAAGGAAACAGCAACAGAAACAGCUGAAAACAAUGUUCCCGGGGUACCUGUCGAGGGUGGCGAUGACGGGAACGACAAUGGGAGCGAUGAUGAUGGAAACAGCGAUGGAAGUGAGGGUGA